AUUGAACGCUGGCGGCAUGCCUUACACAUGCAAGUCGAACGGCAGCACGGGAGCAAUCCUGGUGGCGAGUGGCGAACGGGUGAGUAAUAUAUCGGAACGUGCCCAGUCGUGGGGGAUAACGUAGCGAAAGCUACGCUAAUACCGCAUACGAUCUAAGGAUGAAAGCGGGGGAUCGCAAGACCUCGCGCGAUUGGAGCGGCCGAUAUCAGAUUAGGUAGUUGGUGAGGUAAAGGCUCACCAAGCCAACGAUCUGUAGCUGGUCUGAGAGGACGACCAGCCACACUGGAACUGAGACACGGUCCAGACUCCUACGGGAGGCAGCAGUGGGGAAUUUUUGGACAAUGGACGCAAGUCUGAUCCAGCCAUUCCGCGUGCAGGAUGAAGGCCCUCGGGUUGUAAACUGCUUUUGUACGGAACGAAAAGGUUUCUAUUAAUACUAGGAGCUCAUGACGGUACCGUAAGAAUAAGCACCGGCUAACUACGUGCCAG
rnacentral:rRNA from 1 species